AGAGUGAACGCUGGCGGCAGGCCUAACACAUGCAAGUCGAGCGGCAGCACAGUCGUAGCAAUACGAUGGGUGGCGAGCGGCGGACGGGUGAGGAAUGCAUCGGAAUCUACCUUGUUGUGGGGGAUAACGUAGGGAAACUUACGCUAAUACCGCAUGAGACCGUAAGGUGAAAGCGGGGGACCUGUGAGGGCCUCGCGCGACAAGAUGAGCCGAUGCCGGAUUAGCUAGUUGGUGGGGUAAAGGCCCACCAAGGCGACGAUCCGUAGCUGGUCUGAGAGGAUGAUCAGCCACACUGGAACUGACGACACGGUCCAGACUCCUACGGGAGCAGCAGUGGGAAUAUUGGACAA
rnacentral:rRNA from 1 species